rnacentral:piRNA from 1 species
UUCCAGGGGCUCUAAGUCCAGUGACAUGGU